rnacentral:lncRNA from 1 species
CCACUCGAAAGGAAGUGACUGAGCAGCCUUGGGGGCCUAGGUGCAGGUGGCCCAGUAUGUUUUCUGUCACCCAUCUUUCUGGGUGAACAGAAGAGCCUAAGAAUUUACUACUAGCAGCAGCGGCUUGGCUUGACAAGAGCUGGGUGUUCUCACUCCUUCCCUUUCUACUCUGUCUUGGGGAGGUGGGAGGAAGGGUAGCUUUCUGCUCACUUCAAACAAGGGAAGGACGGCUUCAGAGGCCGUUCAGAGAGCUUUACCUGAGAGUGUGUGUGUUUGUAUGUGCACUCAUGAGUAUGCAUGGGCAUAUGUAUGUAUGUGUGUGUGUGUGUGUUUUCAUGCAUGUUUAUGCACAUGAGUGUGCAUGGAUGUUUAUGUAUGUGUGUAUGUGUGUGUAUUUGUAUGCAAGUGCAUGCACAUGAGUGUGCAUGAGUGUGUGUGUAUGUAUGUAUGUGUGUGUGUAUGUAUGUGAGUGUAUGCGUGUUUGUGUAUAUGUACGUGAGCAUGCAUGAAUAUAUGUGUGUGUAUAUAUGUGUGUAUGUAUGUGUGUGUUUGUAUACAUGCGCAUGCACAUGAGCAUGCAUGCAUGUGUGUGUGUGUGUGUGUUUGAGGAACUAGCACCUGCCUUCCAUUUACCCCAGGAACAAGGGCUAUUGCCAGGAAUAGAGCAAAGACGAAGGCACCCAAUGUAGGGCACCCCUGGAGCCUACAAACGUGCUGUGUACCAGAAAGAAUCAGCCUCCCACCAGCAGUCAUGGUGACAGUCAGU